rnacentral:rRNA from 1 species
CAGCAGCCGCGGUAAUACGUAGGUGGCAAGCGUUGUCCGGAAUUAUUGGGCGUAAAGCGCGCGCAGGUGGUUCUUUAAGUCUGGUGUGAAAGCCCCCGGCUCAACCGGGGAGGGUCAUUGGAAACUGGGGAACUUGAGUGCAGAAGAGGAUAGUGGAAUUCCAAGUGUAGCGGUGAAAUGCGUAGAGAUUUGGAGGAACACCAGUGGCGAAGGCGACUGUCUGGUCUGUAACUGACACUGAGGCGCGAAAGCGUGGGGAGCAAACAGGAUUAGAUACCCUGGUAGUCCACGCCGUAAACGAUGAGUGCUAAGUGUUGGGGGGUUUCCGCCCCUCAGUGUUGCAGCUAACGCAUCAAGCACUCCGCCUGGGGAGUACGGUCGCAAGACUGAAACUCAAAUAAAUUGACGG